GUGUAACUGCAACACCAGAUGAAACGAGCAGUACCAAAGGGGUACCAAUAGCCACCACUUUGAAUGCCUUCAAUAUUCUUCUGGCUGGCACGAAGGUUCAUCCUGUUAAGAAAACCUGUCACAACAGAAAAGAUGAACUUUACAAUGACGUUGUAGAGAUGUGUGUGUCAAGAGACCUUAAACUACACAAAAGCGCUGUCAAAGAUGAAGGCUCAUACAUCAUCCAGGUAUUGACCAACGCUUUAUGGUAUAUCACCAACCAGCAUCAGACCAUAAAUGAUACGUCAUUACGCUUCAAAGAUGUUGUUCCUGUGCCCGAGCCAUUUGAGAAGUUCCAAGGUUACAACGAAUUCAA